UGGCGGCACGCCUAACACAUGCAAGUCGAACGCAGUAGCAAUACUGAGUGGCAAACGGGUGAGUAUAAUGUGGGAAUCUACCUUUCGGUUGGGGAUAACUUCUGGAAACGGGAGCUAAUACCCAAUAUGCUGUGGAGUGAAAGAAUUUCGCCGAAAGACGAUCUUGCGUCUGAUUAGCUAGUUGGGGUGGUAAUGGCACACCAAGGCGACGAUCAGUAGCUGGUCUGAGAGGAUGAUCAGCCACACUGGGACUGAGAUACGGCCCAGACUCC
rnacentral:rRNA from 1 species